AUUGAACGCUGGCGGCAGGCCUAACACAUGCAAGUCGAGCGGUAGAGAGAAGCUUGCUUCUCUUGAGAGCGGCGGACGGGUGAGUAAUGCCUAGGAAUCUGCCUAGUGGUGGGGGAUAACGUUCGGAAACGGACGCUAAUACCGCAUACGUCCUACGGGCGAAAGCGGGGGAUCGUCGGACCUCGCGCCAUUAGAUGAGCCUAGGUCGGAUUAGCUAGUUGGUGAGGUAAUGGCUCACCAAGGCGACGAUCCGUAACUGGUCUGAGAGGAUGAACAGUCACACUGGAACUGAGACACGGUCCAGACUCCUACGGGAGGCAGCAGUGGGGAAUAUUGGACAGUGGGCGAAAGCCUGAUCCAGCCAUGCCGCGUGUGUGAAGAAGGUCUUCGGAUUGUAAAGCACUUUAAGUUGGGAGGAAGGGUAGUAACCUAAUACGUUGCUACUUUGACGUUACCGACAGAAUAAGCACCGGCUAACUUCGUGCCAGCCGCCGCUGUAA
rnacentral:rRNA from 1 species